rnacentral:rRNA from 1 species
UACGGAGGGUGCAAGCGUUGUCCGGAAUUAUUGGGCGUAAAGGGCUCGUAGGCGGUUCGUCACGUCGGGAGUGAAAACUCGGAGCUUAACUCCGAGCCUGCUUCCGAUACGGGCAGACUAGAGGUAGGCAGGGGAGAGCGGAACUCCUGGUGUAGCGGUGGAAUGCGCAGAUAUCAGGAAGAACACCGGUGGCGAAGGCGGCUCUCUGGGCCUUACCUGACGCUGAGGAGCGAAAGCGUGGGUAGCGAACAGG